rnacentral:rRNA from 1 species
GCCUAGCUAUAAUCACCACACGCCAAAAAAGUUACAAGCGCAAGCUUAAAACUUAAAAGACCUGGCGGUACUCUAUAUCACCCUAGAGGGGCCUGUCUAGUAAUCGAUACUACACGAAAAACCUAACCUCUUCUAGCCACUUCAGCCUAUAUACCGCCGUCGAAAGCUUAUCUCACAAGAAAUAGAAGCUAAAAAGUAUAAUUAGACUAACACGUCAGGUCAAGGUGUAGCAUAUGAAAAGGAUAAGAUUGGCCACAGUACAACACAUACGAAAAACACCGCGAAAUACGUAAUUAAUAAGAAUUUAGUAGUAAGAAAACCAACGAAUAACUUUCUGAAACUUUCCCGCCCUAGAGUAUGC